GGGGACUAGGAGACCGGGGAGGUAUUGAUUGGUGUCUGUCAGGAAUCCCACGCGUUUCAUCCUCUCAUCCCAGGAGAGAUAGGUUCCACUGGUUCUUCCAAGGGUCUUACAAGAAUCCUGAAGCUUCCUAGAAGCGAGCAUCAUCUGAUACCUGACCAAGUGCAAAUGCUCUUGCCUCCUGGAUCACGUUUCCAUAUGCAUAAAGGAAAGAGGAAACCAACGUUCAUGGAGAGAUAACCAUUCAAACAUUGGAAGAAGGUACAAACUCCAUAUAAAUGUUCUUCUUGGAUGGAUUCUGACCCGGGACCCCAGUACUGCAAAGCAGGAGUGCUAACAACCAAGCCACCAAGAGGUAUCUCACAUUUCCUAAAAAUAAUGAAAAAUGCCUAUUGAAAUCAUUAAGCAAACAUUGAUGUCUAUGAAUAUUUGUAAUUUUCCAAUGAAAAAUAAUCCUAUUUCUUUAGUUCAAUACAUUUUAUGAAUUAUAAAUGUAGCACGGAACAAAAAUAUGGCAGUGUGAAUGUUUCCUAAGGCACAUGUGAGCCUAUAAAUAGUUAUGGCUUUGAAAGCCACACCACCAAAACAUGAUGAAAACUCCAUCAAAAAUGUGAUAUUUAACAGUGCAUUUUUGGCCAUAAUACCAUUAAAGGGUAUUCCAGGAUCUUGUUUUAUUUGACUAUGCUACAGGGGCUGUAAAGUUAGUGUAGCUCAUAAUAUAGUGUCUGUACCUGUGUUUGAUGGUGGUCUCGCAAUUCUUAUGUAAUCUUUGCUCCAAUGUUUAUUUUUUAAAGUCUCAGGUUUUCCCAGGUUGCAGUGCUGGCUGAAACGUUACAUCACUGGUCAGAUGUUCAGAGGG